rnacentral:rRNA from 1 species
GACGAACGCAGGCGGCGUGCCUAAUACAUGCAAGUAGAACGCUGAAGGAGGAGCUUGCUUCUCUGGAUGAGUUGCGAACGGGUGAGUAACGCGUAGGUAACCUGCCUGGUAGCGGGGGAUAACUAUUGGAAACGAUAGCUAAUACCGCAUAAGAGUAGAUGUCGCAUGACAUUUGCUUAAAAGGUGCAAUUGCAUCACUACCAGAUGGACCUGCGUUGUAUUAGCUAGUUGGUGAGGUAACGGCUCACCAAGGCAACGAUACAUAGCCGACCUGAGAGGGUGAUCGGCCACACUGGGACUGAGACACGGCCCAGACUCCUACGGGAGGCAGCAGUAGGGAAUCUUCGGCAAUGGACGGAAGUCUGACCGAGCAACGCCGCGUGAGUGAAGAAGGUUUUCGGAUCGUAAAGCUCUGUUGUAAGAGAAGAACGAGUGUGAGAGUGGAAAGUUCACACUGUGACGGUAUCUUACCAGAAAGGGACGGCUAACUACGUG